rnacentral:rRNA from 1 species
GACGAACGCUGGCGGCGUGCCUAAUACAUGCAAGUUGGGCGCUGAAGGUUGGUACUUGUACCAACUGGAUGAGCAGCGAACGGGUGAGUAACGCGUGGGGAAUCUGCCUUUGAGCGGGGGACAACAUUUGGAAACGAAUGCUAAUACCGCAUAAAAACUUUAAACACAAGUUUUAAGUUUGAAAGAUGCAAUUGCAUCACUCAAAGAUGAUCCCGCGUUGUAUUAGCUAGUUGGUGAGGUAAAGGCUCACCAAGGCGAUGAUACAUAGCCGACCUGAGAGGGUGAUCGGCCACAUUGGACUGAGACACGGCCCAAACUCCUACGGGAGGCAGCAGUAGGGAAUCUUCGGCAAUGGACGAAAGUCUGACCGAGCAACGCCGCGUGAGUGAAGAAGGUUUUCGGAUCGUAAAACUCUGUUGGUAGAGAAGAACGUUGGUGAGAGUGGAAAGCUCAUCAAGUGACGGUAACUACCCAGAAAGGGACGGCUAACUACGUG